rnacentral:rRNA from 1 species
CCUACGGGUGGCAGCAGUGAGGAAUAUUGGUCAAUGGGCGAGAGCCUGAACCAGCCAAGUCGCGUGAAGGAUGACGGCCCUACGGGUUGUAAACUUCUUUUGUCAGGGAGCAAUUGAGUCCACGUGUGGUCUUAGCGAGAGUACCUGAAGAAAAAGCAUCGGCUAACUCCGUGCCAGCAGCCGCGGUAAUACGGAGGAUGCGAGCGUUAUUCGGAUUUAUUGGGUUUAAAGGGUGCGUAGGCGGUCCGUUAAGUCAGCGGUAAAAUUGCGGGGCUCAACCCCGUCGAGCCGUUGAAACUGGCAGACUUGAGUUGGCGAGAAGUACGCGGAAUGCGCGGUGUAGCGGUGAAAUGCAUAGAUAUCGCGCAGAACUCCGAUUGCGAAGGCAGCGUACCGGCGCCAGACUGACGCUGAGGCACGAAAGCGUGGGGAUCGAACAGGAUUAGAUACCCUUGUAGUC